CAAGCGUUAUAUUUUUUCUGUUACAUUUUGUUUUAUUAAUAUAUAUAUGCGUUCUUAUUAUAAAAAUGGUUCUUUUUAAAAUUCUUUUGUAUAAUUUUUUAUGCAUGGGAAUUUUA
rnacentral:rRNA from 1 species